CGGCUCUGAAAGGGGGAUGGGAGAGCGAGCAGAAAGCAGAAAAACCAGCUUUGAACUAUGCAUGCAAGGCCUCUCUCAAGACUCAAAUUCUUGCGGAAGGCGCUGGAAUACACCUGUAGAGAUGACAAGCUUCCUGCUCCAAUCUCAUAUGUGAUGAAAAUUGACUGCAGAAGACCCACUGCUAUGAAUUUAAGGGUACAAGGAUUCCAGCCCUGGUCCAGGAAGAUCCCACAUGCCGCAGAGCAACUAAGCCCACGAGCCACGACUACGGAGCCCAUGUGCCACAACCACUGAAAGCCCGCGCGCCUAGAGCCCAUGCUCCGCAACAAGAGAAGCCACCGCAAUGAGAAGCCCGAGUACCGCAACGAAGAGCAGCCCCUGCUCGCCGUAACUAAAGAAAGCUUGCACGCAGCAACGAAGACCCAACGCAGCCAUAAAUAAAUAAAUAAAAUAAAUAAAAAUUUUUAAAAAUGCAA